rnacentral:lncRNA from 1 species
GUUCUCUUGCUCAUACGCUCUUUGUGCUCUUCUGACAUGCUUUCUUGUUGUUCCAUAAGAAUUUUCUGACCUGUACAGAAAAUGAAACAACAAGGAUAAGAGCUACCCACACUGGGUCUAUGGGCGAGAAAAAACAUAUCCCCCUUAAACACGGGGAUCAAUUUGGGAGACUUACUGGUACUGCCGUUCCCCAGCUGAAGAAUUCUGAAUCCACAAGAUCCUCGGGUCCUCAUAUGGGCUACCAUAUGUUGCAUCUGCUCUCGACCAGCAAGAACGACAUGACACAGUUGGAUUCUGUUCAACAGCCUUUAUUGCAGGAACGCCUCGAUGCUUCUAUGGGGACCCUGGUCGCCCAGGGAGCCCUGCUUAUAUGCACCCCAGCACAGGAGAAGGCUCCGUGGCCCCCUGGAAUUGGUCAGUCUGCCAGCACCCAAUUUGCAUGCAGUGCAAAUUUGCAGUGGUGUUGUUUAUGAAAACAGCAACCAGAAACUGGUGCCAUCUUGGAGUUGGCUUCCCACACUUCUGGGGGAAUCACCAUCCCUGACCUUAAGCUGUACUACAGAGCAAUUGUGAUAAAAACUGCAUGGUACUGGUAUAGCAACAUAGAGGUAGAUCAAUGGAAUAGAACUGAAGAUGCAGAAAUGAACCCACAUAUCUAUGGUCACUUAAUCUUUGACAAUAAGGUAAAACCAUCCAGUGGAAAUAAGACAGCAUUUUAAACCAAUGGUGAUGGAUCAACUAGUGGUUAGCAUGUAGGGAAUGGUAUAUACAAUAUAGUGCAAUGCUUGUAUGUUAGGUAAACUCCUUUAUGAGAAAGGCCCACCUUAUGAGUCUGCUUGGGGGCAAAGUAAUUAUGAAACAGAGAGUGAUACUGCAGGAAAACUAUGACAUUUUUCACUUUGGGAAUCUCUCACAACAACUUGGGAUAAAGGUGAAGUUAGGAAAGUUCAGCCGAUAUUUUCCACAUGGUGAAUAUUUUCACUUAUAUGUAGACAUGUUCAAGUUGGCUACAGCAAAGAGAAAGGUGAGUGUGUACUAACUUAUUGAUUUAUAAUACACAACAGUAAACACUGUCAAGUGGAUACACAUUAACAUAUUGAAAUGAAAAAAAUACUUUAACAUCAAGAAACAAUUUCUAAGUUCCUAUAUUAUGUUUAUUUUGACAUUUUCCCCAAUUCUUUGAAGAUUCAAACAUGCAUAAAAUAUACCUAUGUCAUAUCAGAACUAUUUUCUGAAAUUUAAUGAAUACAAACUGUUCUUCAUCACUGUUUGAUAUUCUUUCCUUUAAAUUAAACAAAAUAUUUUUCACUUUGUUGCUGUUAUUUCACAGUAAUCUAUUCCCUUACCUUAAACCACUGAAACAGGUGUUGAUAAGAGAGAGACCAAUGUUACAAUUAGGAAAUGCUAUGAGUCAUAAUUGCUAACCCUUGUCAUUUUACCCAAAAAUGUUUUCCCACAAAACAAACGGAUACAUACCACGUUCAAUAAUGAACACAAUUAUAAAAAUUCAUAUUCACAUAAACAUGACUUUUUAAUAAAUUGAAGAACCCAGUCAUAUUUUUAAUUAAGAUGAACAGAAUUUCAAAGGAACUGCACUAAAACAUCAAACAAAGAAAUACCUAUUAACACACCUCAAGUACAGCAAUAAUAGCAACCAGACAAAAGCAACAAGUAAUUUUCAGUUAUAAGUGAACACUUGUGUUAAAAUUCUGUAAAUAAAAUCAAAGACAACAAUGCUGGCUUAAAUUUUUUAAGAAACUCCUUAGUUGCCUGCAGAAGGUGGGGAGACACAUUCACAUACAAGAGGAGAGCAUUUCUUUAUUUUAAAAAUGAGUAAAGCAUAAUGUUUAGUAAGAGGAGAAAGGAUAUUUGAGAACAAUAAAAAUUUGAGAAAAUUUGAGAUAGAUAUUUAUAGAAUAAUUCUUGACAAAAACACCUACCCACCCAA